rnacentral:tRNA from 1 species
AGCGGGAUGGCGCAGGUGGCAGCGCGCAUGGCUCAUAACCAUGAGGUCGCCGGUUCGAGCCCGGCUCCCGCAA